rnacentral:lncRNA from 1 species
GGAGACCUGAAGGCUGCUUCCGCUAACCCGGGCUGGCGCUGCUAACCUCACCCAACGAUCCCUGCUGUCGGAAAAUGUCCAGAGGCACCAUCCCUGCUAUGAAGAGGGAAUGCCAGUACAACAGCCACAAGGGGUCUUCCUGUGGCCCUCAAACAAAAAAUCACUGCAUUACAUCAGCAGGCCGGACGCGGUGGUUCAUGCCUGUAAUCCCAGCACUGUGGGAGGCCGAGACGGGCGGAUCACGAGGUCAGCAGAUCGAGACCAUCCUGGCUAACACGGUGAAACCCCAUCUCUCCUAAAAAUACAAAAAAAUUAGCUGGGCGUGGUGGCGGGCGCCUGUAGUCUCAGCUACUCGAGAGGCUGAGGCAGGAGAACGGCGUGAACCCGGGAGGCGGAGCUUGCAGUGAGCCAAGAUCGCGCUACUGCACUUCAGCCUGGGCGACAGAGCGAGACUCCGUCUCUCUCUCUCUCACGCUCUCUCUCUAUAUAUAUAUUCCAUAGACUGCAUUGGAGAGAAAGGCGCCGGGACAGAAAAGCCUGAGAUAAACCACCUGUCAUUCUUGGAGAAAAGGAUGCUGCGGCUUUCCCGAUUUGGUUGAUGAGAUGGAAAAUCAACCCUUACAGGAAGGACAUCACCAAUUCCGGAAAGGAUGCUGCGCCAGUCAUGUUUCCGCACUCUGUGAGACGUUGAAAUCUCCAGAAGUUGCCCAAGGUUUUCAAGCUGAACACAGGAGAAAUGACUCUGGAUCUCUGAGGACUGUUUUCCUCAAUAAGGAGCUGCAAUCUUGGCUCCACCACCCUCCCUCCAAAACAUCUCGUGUGUCUGGUAUCUGGUUAUAUUGUGGCCUGACAGAGAAGUUUCUUUCGGGGCCAGUGAAUUAAAAAAAAAAAA